rnacentral:rRNA from 1 species
AACGAACGCUGGCGGCAUGCCUAACACAUGCCAGUCGAACGAGACCUUCGGGUCUAGUGGCGCACGGGUGCGUAACACGUGGGAAUUUGCCCUUUGCUUCGGAAUAACAGUUAGAAAUGACUGUUAAUACCGGAUGAUGUCGAAAGACCAAAGAUUUAUCGGCAAAGGAUGAGCCCGCGUAGGAUUAGGCAGUUGGUGGGGUAAAGGCCUACCAAGCCGACGAUCCUUAGCUGGUCUGAGAGGAUGAUCAGCCACACUGGGACUGAGACACGGCCCAGACUCCUACGGGAGGCAGCAGUAGGGAAUAUUGGACAAUGGGCGAAAGCCUGAUCCAGCAAUGCCGCGGGAGUGAUGAAGGCCUUAGGAUUGUAAAGCUCUUUUACCAGGAGUGAUAAUGACAGUACCUGGUAAAUAAGCACCGGCUAACUCCGUG